UACGAAGGGUGCAAACGUUGCUCGGAAUCAUUGGGCGUAAAGCGCACGUAGGCGGCUUGCCAAGUCGGACGUGAAAUCCCUCAGCUCAACUGAGGACGUGCAUCCGAAACUGGCGAGCUUGAGUACUGAAGAGGAUCGCGGAAUUCCCGGUGUAGAGGUGAAAUUCGUAGAUAUCGGGAGGAACACCAGUGGCGAAGGCGGCGAUCUAGGCAGAUACUGACGCUGAGGUGCGAAAGCGUGGGGAGCAAACAGG
rnacentral:rRNA from 1 species